rnacentral:lncRNA from 1 species
GUAAAGGUUGAAGUCAAUAGAUUUGGCAGUAUUAGGUGUCUGGUUACAGGGCUCCUUUCAACACUGGCAAAAUGAACAUUAUUGCCACCAAUGAUCCCUUCAUUGUUUUCAACUACAUGGUCCUCAUGUUCCAAGUUGAUUCCACUAUGUCAAGUUCAAUGGAAUCUUUAAGGAUAGGAAUGGGACGCUCAUCAUCAGUGGGAAGCCCAUUUCUAUCUUCCAGGAAACAGGUCCCACCAACCUCCAAUGGGGUGAUGUUGGUAUGGGGGCCCCUGGUGUCAUCACUAUCUUCAAGAAGAUUGGGGUUCACUUAAAGGUGAAGUCACAAAAGUCCUCAUCGCUGCUUCUUCUGCUGAUUCCCCCAUGUGUGCAAGGAGAGUGAACCAUGAGAAACAUAAGCAUUCCCUCAAGACUAUCAGCAACAACACCUGAACCACCAACUGUGCAGCCCUCCUCCCCAAGAACAUCCAUGGAACUCUCCCAGCAGGGAGGACCUCACUGUUAUAAACAAUGCCAUCAGUGCCACUCACAGACUGUGGAUGGUCCUUCUGGCAAACCAUGGUGCAGUGGUCAUCGUGCUGCCCAGAGCAGCAUCCUCACCAUCACUGGCACGGCCAAGACUGUCAUGAAUCUGACUUGCCACCUUGAGAACAUUGCCAAGUACAAUGACAUCAAGAAUGUGGUGAAGCAGGUGAUGGGGGCUUCCGAAGAGCCUCCUGAGCAACAUUGAAGACUAGAUUGUCUCCCAUGACUCUAAUAGUGUAACGCUGUGGAUGCAGGGCCUGGCUUCACCCUCAAUGACCACUUUGUUAAGCUUUUUAGU